GAAACAUCUCGGAACGGGAGGAGUAGGCGGUUCAGAUCUUGAAAGAGAGGAGUGCCAUGGCUGAAAGCACUCUAAGAUCUUUCCGUUGAAUGUCGCCCGGGAGAUGGUGGCCUGAACAUUUAUCCAUGAAUAAUGAUAGUAGGGCCAUCCGGCUGUAGCCGUUAUUUUUAUGAGGGUCCCCAGCUACGGAAAUUAGGUGUAGGGGGAAAAAAGGUGGUACCGCGGAAUAAAGCCCUUCCGUCCUUUUA
rnacentral:ncRNA from 1 species